AGGUGUUCUCUGUUCAUAAUACAUACCUGAUGUUGCUGGGCCUCAUUUAACGACUGCGUCCAGAUGACUGUCUAAUGAAAAAGCCCGUUACACUGGCACUAGAAAUGUACGUGGAGAUGUGAGGAUAGGAUGGCUGC